UGCUUCUUGGUGCUUACCAUAGAUUAUUUUCUUACACUGACUGUAUAGAAAGGGAAGACAGAGUAAACGUACCCCAUAUAUACCUUAGCCCAGGCUGUGUGUGUGGUCUGUAUUGUGAAUGGGAAGACAUGA